GCCGAACCCUCGCGCCGUCCUUACCACAUCCAAGUCGAACGGAAAGCCCCAGCUUUUGUGGGGUGCUCCCUUUCCGCCCCGGUGUGCAACCCGUGGGUACCCUGCCCUUGCCUUUGGCCUCCCCUCAGUAACCUCGGGUUAAUACCCGAUAGGAGCUCCUGCUGAUUGGUGGGCCUUGGAACCUUUCGUCGGUUGGGGAUGGCCUCUCGCCUUAUCCGCUUGUUGGUGGGGUAGUGGCUUCCCAAGGCUUUGCCGGGUAGCCGGCCAGAGCGGGUGACCGGCCACAUUGGGACUGAGAUACGGCCCAGACGCCUACGGGAGGCAGCAGUGGGGAAUAUUGCACGAUGGGCGGAAGCCGGAUGCAGCGACGCCGCGUGCGGGAUGACGGCCUGCGGGUUGUAAACCGCUUUCACCUGGGACGAAGCGACAGUGACGGUAAUUGGAAAAGAAGCACCGGCUAACUACGUG
rnacentral:rRNA from 1 species